AGUUCUCAGUACCUUCCCUUUCUCUGCAUCCUGGCUGCCAGAAGGCGAAGAGCUCCCUGCUUACGUUCUCCCACUACCGUGACGUCAUGACGUCUGUUCCAAGCACAUGGCGCAAACAACCAUGGUUCAAGUCUCUCAAACCAGUUACUGAGUGAGCUUCCGCUACCCCCAUGGGUGCCCUUGAACUGCUCUGUUGUGGUGACUACUAAAACACUCUUGGCAUGCCUCCUUCUUCCUGCCCGGUCCAGGGGCCCUCAACGAGCAAGUACAGGACAGUCGUUUUCUUUAUUUCACCCCAGCAUCUGGACAGAAUGAAGCAACCAAAACCCGGACGGCUCACUGAGGUCCUCACAGCUAUUGGAGAAGGAAAACCAGCCUGUGCUGUCUCCAUGUGGGUGCCUGCCCCCUGCUUUGGCAUGCAAGAAGAAAGGAAGGACAUCUGCAGGGACCUUGGUUUGUUCAAACAUAAGGCAGUGGUAAUCAUAACUCCUAGGGGCAAAGAGCCAAGUCACAGCUAAACAGAACCAGUCAAAAAUACAAAGCACUGUUCAAAUGACUGUUCAUCCAUCUCCGGAGUUAGAGGAAGAAACAGGUGAAUUCAAAGAAUGUAUUUUGGACCUGAUGUCAAUACCUACAACUCAUGUAAAAAUCUGGGGGUGGUGGCACGGGAUGUAGUCUCAGAACUAGGAGGCAGAGACAGGUGGAUUCCUGGGGCCUGAUGUCCAGAUAUUCUAAUUGAAUCAGUAAAUUUCAGGUUAUGUGAGCCAAGCUGUCCCAAAACGCAAUGUGGACAACAUCCUGAGGAGUGGCAUCUGAGGCUAAAUCUGGCCUGUGUACACACUCACAUAUGCACACCCACAUAUAAACACACCAUACAAACAAGUGUUAUUUUAUCAAUUAUAACCCAAUUUAUCAAAGCAACCUCAACACAGGGCAAUGAUAUUCACUGGUUCGUUCCAACUGAAAAUUAUUUGUCAUCAUAUAUUACCUACAAAUGCUGAAAACCUAGGAAACAUGAUUUACAACUUUAAUUACAAUAGAAAUAUGUGCCUACACUCAUGCAGAUCAUUAAACACAGCUCAAACUCAUUACUGAGUUACUUGAAAAAACAAACUGCUAAGCCUAAGACUUAAUUAUAAGCUUUCAAUCUGGCUUAAAUUAAUUCUUUCUAGCCUCCAAUGAAUUCCAAACAUUUCAAUAAAAAUUCACUGAAAUUUCAGCAUUUAAGUCAUUGACUUCAGAUUCCU